CCUACGGGAGGCAGCAGUAGGGAAUAUUGCACAAUGGAGGAAACUCUGAUGUAGCAACGCCGCGUGAGUGAAGAAGGCCCUUGGGUCGUAAAGCUCUUUAGCCUGGAAAGAAGUGUUUGUACAUUAAUAUUGUGCAGAUGUGACGGUACCAGGAGAAUAAGGACCGGCUAAUUUCGUGCCAGCAGCCGCGGUAAU
rnacentral:rRNA from 1 species